rnacentral:lncRNA from 1 species
GGCCCCGCGGAGAGCUGGUGGGAAGUUCAGAGCCAUGGUUCCCCAGACAGCUGCUUCAUUGUCCCCAUUGCUACGCUCCGUUUUGGGUUCAGCCUGUGAAGGUUCUGCAGCUGCGUGUGGACAACCCCGCCCCUUCCCCGGGUUGUGCCACUGUUUAUGUUCUGGGACUGUUAUGGUUUAUCUGAGCUCCAAAUAAUCAGGAUACAAUUUACAGACCACAUGAAGCUCAAUAAGAAGGAAGACCAAAGUGUGGGUGCUUCGGUCCUUAGAACAACAAAAUACUCACAGGAGCAAAUAUGGAGAUAAAGCGUUGAGCAGAGACUGAAGGAAAGGCCACCCAGAGACUCUUACCUGGGGAUUUAUCCUGUACACAGUUUCCAAACCCAGACAUUGUGGAUGCCAAAAGUACAUGCUGAAAGGAGCUUGAUAUGGCUGUCUCC